CGGGUGAGUAACACGUGGGUAAUUUACCUUCGGGUGGGGAAUAACAGUCGGAAACGACUGCUAAUACCGCAUAAUGCAGCGGCACCUCAUGGUGACAGUUGUUAAAGCGGGGGAUCCUUCGGGAUCUCGCGCCUGAAGAGAAGCCUGCGGCGGAUUAGCUAGUUGGUGAGGUAAUGGCUCACCAAGGCGACGAUCCGUAGCCGGCCUGAGAGGGCGGUCGGUCACACUGACACUUGAAUACGGGUCAGACUCCUACGGGAGGCAGCAGUCGGGAAUUUUGGGCAAUGGGCGCAAGCCUGACCCAGCAACGCCGCGUGAAGGAUGAAAUCCCUCGGGAUGUAAACUUCGCAAGAACGGGAAGAAUAAGUUCUGGCUAAUACCCGGAACGAUGACGGUACUGUUUGUAAGCUCCGGCUAACUCCGUGCCAGCAGCCGCGGUAAUACGGGGGGAGCAAGCGUUGUUCGGAUUUACUGGGCGUAAAGGGCGCGUAGGCGGCCACAACAAGUCACUUGUGAAAUCUCCGGGCUUAACUCGGAAAGGUCAAGUGAUACUGUCGGGCUAGAGUGCGGAAGGGGCAACUGGAAUUCUCGGUGUAGCGGUGAAAUGCGUAGAUAUCGAGAGGAAC
rnacentral:rRNA from 1 species